ensembl:lncRNA
CCUCUCUCUCCCUCUCUCUCUCUCUCUCUCUCUCUCUGACCCAGUUCUAGCUCCUCUGGGCUCCGAGCCACCUGUUGGAGCCCUAACGACAUGCAGAGCUAGCAUUGGAAACCAAUACAAUGUGCGUGACUUGUUGACGUGCGCUAACGACGCCGCUACUGAAGGGAAGCCAUUUUGUGACGGUGGCGAGCUAACGACAGGCAGCAUAUCACGAAGCAGACGCCGUUCAAAGGGCCUGCCUGAAUUCCCCUUCCAGCUCUGGGACUGAAAUGACUCAGCCACU